UGGGGAAUCUUGCGCAAUGGGCGAAAGCCUGACGCAGCAACGCCGCGUGGGUGAUGAAGGUCUUCGGAUCGUAAAGCCCUGUCGGAGGGGAAGAUGUGGUUGCUAUCUAACAGGUAGCGAUUGUGACGGUACCCUUAAAGGAAGCACCGGCUAACUCUGUGCCAGCAGCCGCGGUAAUACAGAGGGUGCAAGCGUUGUUCGGAAUUAUUGGGCGUAAAGGGAGUGUAGGCGGUUCGUUAAGUCUUCUGUGAAAUCUACGGGCUCAGCCCGUAACGUGCAGAGGAAACUGGCGAGCUUGAGUGUCGGAGAGGAUAGGGGAAUACCCGGUGUAGAGGUGAAAUUCGUAGAGAUCGGGUGGAACACCAGUGGCGAAGGCGCCUAUCUGGCUGACAACUGACGCUGAGACUCGAAAGCAUGGGGAGCAAACAGG
rnacentral:rRNA from 1 species